UGCCAGCAGCCGCGGUAAUACGGAGGGUGCAAGCGUUGUCCGGAUUUAUUGGGUUUAAAGGGUGCGUAGGCGGGUUAUUAAGUCAGUGGUGAAAUACUGCAGCUCAACUGUAGAGGUGCCAUUGAAACUGAUAAUCUUGAGUUCAGUAGAGGUAGGCGGAAUUGAUGGUGUAGCGGUGAAAUGCAUAGAUACCAUCAGGAACAUCAAUAGCGAAGGCAGCUUACUGGGCAUGGACUGACGCUGAGGCACGAAAGCGUGGGGAGCGAACAGGAUUAGAUA
rnacentral:rRNA from 1 species